UCGACAACGGAUCUCUUGGCUCUCGCAUCGAUGAAGAACGCAGCGAAAUGCGAUAAGUAAUGUGAAUUGCAGAAUUCAGUGAAUCAUCGAAUCUUUGAACGCACCUUGCGCCCUUUGGUAUUCCGAGGGGCAUGCCUGUUUGAGUGUCAUC
rnacentral:rRNA from 2 species